UACAGAGGGUGCAAGCGUUAAUCGGAAUUACUGGGCGUAAAGCGCGCGUAGGUGGUUUGUUAAGUUGGAUGUGAAAGCCCCGGGCUCAACCUGGGAACUGCAUCCAAAACUGGCAAGCUAGAGUACGGUAGAGGGUGGUGGAAUUUCCUGUGUAGCGGUGAAAUGCGUAGAUAUAGGAAGGAACACCAGUGGCGAAGGCGGCAAACUGGAUAGGCACUGACACUCAACAACGAAAGCGUGGGGAGCAAACAGG
rnacentral:rRNA from 1 species